UGCUCAUAACUUAUUGAAAAAUUCUCCUGUGGGACUGAAAUGUUCCAUGCUUUGCAUCAGCUCAGAGGUGAAUUUUGUUUUGAAAGUUUGAGC
rnacentral:pre_miRNA from 1 species